GCAACACGGCCUCCAGGUCUUUGGGGAAAACAAGUUCAGUGAAGUAGUCUGGGUUGAAGAAGCAUCUUGCAGUCUACUGAGUAUGCAGAGCUGAGGAAUAGAUGGACUCCAAGAAUCUAAACCACUUUUCAAUAAAUCCAUGGCUCCUCUACCUGCCCUGUUCCUGGUGGCUCUGGUGUGCUGACUUGUAGCCCAGGCUCUGGACUGCCACGUAUGCACCUACAGUGCAGAGAACUGCUUCAAGCCCAUGUGCUGCCUGGCCCUGGUCACCUACGGCACAACUACAGACUUACUACACCCCAGUCAGGAUGAAGGUCUGCUGUCUCAGUUAGUAGAAGUCUGCUUCCAACUUCUCCCCUUGUGUUUUCAACAACUUCCUGUCUUCAGGUAUCUUGGCUGGGAUGCAAAGGAGUGCUGAGAACUCAACAGCCUGACCAAUGAUUAGGAAUAAUUGGAAGCAGGUGGAGCUGAGGCCAGCUCACCCAACCUGGCCUGUGCUACAGUCCUUUCCUCUAUGAGCAUCACAGACUUCAAAAAGCUGGAGAAAGCUGUGUCCCAUCUUCCCAGGAAAAAAUGCACAGAAAUACAUAUACCAAAACUUUUGCAUUUAGAUUUUUCUACAUUGGAAAUGUAUUUCCUGCACAUGAAGAGAAGUUAAAAGUAAUCUUAAAAAAAAAAAAAAAAGCCUUGGUCUCAUUUUUUAUCUUAUUUUAAGAUUCAAGGUCUAUUUGAGUGGUAGAGGGAAUAGAUCUAAAACUGCACAUAAAACAAAAAUUUUCAAUUCUUCUUCAAAUCACAUGUUAAUGAGAUUGCUGUGAUUUCUUGGCUUGAAUAAAAAGUUGGAAUUGUGGCA
rnacentral:lncRNA from 1 species